GACGAACGCUGGCGGCGUGCCUAACACAUGCAAGUCAACUUGACUGAAGGAGCAAUCUGACAGUAGAGUGGCGCAAGGGUGCGUAACGCGUAAGUAACUUGCCCCAAGGUAAGGAAUAACGUCGAGAAAUCGGCGCUAAUACCUCAUAAUGCAGCGGAUCCGCAUGGAUAUGUUGUUAAAGGUUUACCGCCUUGGGAUAGGCUUGCGUCUGAUUAGCUAGUUGGUGUGGUAACGGCACACCAAGGCUACGAUCAGUAACUGGUCUGAGAGGAUGAUCAGUCACACUGGAACUGAGACACGGUCCAGACUCCUACGGGAGGCAGCAGUGAGGAAUAUUGGGCAAUGCUCGAAGAGUGACCCAGCAACGCCGCGUGGAGGAUGAAGGUAUUCUAUAUCGUAAACUCCU
rnacentral:rRNA from 1 species